rnacentral:sRNA from 1 species
GCCUAGCCCUGAUGGGAACGGCAUCCUUUUUCUGGCUUUUUUAGACAGAAAAAGAUAUAGUGUACAGCAGGAUUUAGC